rnacentral:rRNA from 1 species
UCGAGAAUUUUUCACAAUGGGCGCAAGCCUGAUGGAGCGACGCCGCGUGGGGGAUGAAUGGCUUCGGCCCGUAAACCCCUGUCAUUUGCGAUCAACCGUUGUUGUUUAAGAGAUGACAACCUGAUAGUAGCGAAAGAGGAAGGGACGGCUAACUCUGUGCCAGCAGCCGCGGUAAUACAGAGGUCCCAAGCGUUGUUCGGAUUCACUGGGCGUAAAGGGUGCGUAGGUGGCAAGGUAAGUCGGAUGUGAAAUCUCCGAGCUCAACUCGGAAAUGGCAUUGGAAACUGCUUUGCUCGAGGGUUGGAGGGGGGACUGGAAUACUUGGUGUAGCAGUGAAAUGCGUAGAUAUCAAGUGGAACACCAGUGGCGAAGGCGAGUCCCUGGACAACUCCUGACACUGAGGCACGAAAGCUAGGGGAGCAAACA